rnacentral:rRNA from 1 species
CAAUAGCGUAUAUUAAAGUUGUUGCGGUAAAAAAGCUCGUAGUUGGAUUUCUGUUGAGAGCGACCGGUCCAUACCAUGUAUGCGUAUCUGGCUUGCUCUCGGCAUCCUCUCGAUAGACGUUACUGCGCUUGAUUGCGUGGUGCGGAUCUCGGGACUUUUACUUUGAGGAAAUUAGAGUGUUCACGGCAGGCUUUCGCCAGAAUACAUUAGCAUGGAAUAAUACUAUAGGAUCUUGGUUCUAUUUUGUUGGUUUCUAGAAUUGAGAUAAUGAUUAAUAGGGGCAAUUGGGGGCAUUCGUAUCAACACGUCAGAGGUGGAAUUCUUGGAUUGUGUUGCGACGAACUACUGCGAAAGCAUUUGCCAAGGAUGUUUUCAUUGA